GAUGAACGCUGGCGGCGUGCCUAAUACAUGCAAGUCGAACGCAUAGCGAAAGAUCCUUGCACCUUUCAAGUGGGUGGCGAACGGGUGAGUAACACGUGGACAACCUGCCUCAAGGCUGGGGUUACCAUUUGGAACCAGAUGCAAAUACCGAUUAUAACUUAGUGUCGCUUGACCCAAAGUUAAAAGGCGCUUUGGCGUCACCUAGAGAUGGAUCCGCGGUGCAUUAGUUAGUUGGUGGGGUAAAGGCCUACCAAGACAAUGAUGCAUAGCCGAGCUGAGAGACUGAUCGGCCACAUUGGGACUGAGACACGGCCCAAACUCCUACGGGAGGCAGCAGUAGGGAAUCUUCCACAAUGGGCGAAAGCCUGAUGGAGCAACGCCGCGUGUGUGAUGAAGGCUUUCGGAUCGUAAAGCACUGUUAUAAGGGAAGAACAGAUGUAAUAGGAAAUGAUUUUAGUUUGACGGUACCAAACCAGAAAGGGACGGCUAAAUACGUG
rnacentral:rRNA from 1 species